AGAGUUUGAUCCUGGCUCAGGAUGAACGCUAGCUACAGGCUUAACACAUGCAAGUCGAGGGGAAACGACAUCGAAAGCUUGCUUUUGAUGGGCGUCGACCGGCGCACGGGUGAGUAACGCGUAUGCAACUUACCUAUCAGAGGGGGAUAGCCCGGCGAAAGUCGGAUUAAUACCCCAUAAAACAGGGGUCCCGCAUGGGAAUAUUUGUUAAAGAUUCAUCGCUGAUAGAUAGGCAUGCGUUCCAUUAGGCAGUUGGCGGGGUAACGGCCCACCAAACCGACGAUGGAUAGGGGUUCUGAGAGGAAGGUCCCCCACAUUGGUACUGAGACACGGACCAAACUCCUACGGGAGGCAGCA
rnacentral:rRNA from 1 species